GCUUGGGCAGCAAAUCUAAAUUAAAAUUUAAACAAUACAGCAAAUAUUAGUAUGGCCUUUGCACAAGGAUAACCCAUAAGUGUCUGUUUUGUAUGUUUUAUAU